rnacentral:misc_RNA from 1 species
UGGGCUUGACAUUUACCUGCCCCGAAGGGAGACUGUGUUUCCACAGCUGUCAGGUAAAUGUCAAGCCCAGGUAAGGUUCUUCGCGUUGCGUCGAAUUAAACCACAUGCUCCGCUGCUUGUGCGGGCCCCCGUCAAUUCCUUUGAGUUUUAGCCUUGCGGCCGUACUCCCCAGGCGGGGCACUUAAUGCGUUAGCUUCGGCACGGAGGGAGUCGACACCCCCCACACCUAGUGCCCAUCGUUUACGGCGUGGACUAC